GGAAGUCGCCUGCGGCGGGCCGUCGCCAAGUAUUCCAGGACACUGUCCCCGAGGCCACAAUGCCUUUCCCGGCUGUUGAAAAGAAAGCAGCAGAAGAAAGUAGGCCGCUGCUGGCUCCUGAGUCCCUGGCAGCCUUCUCUCCUCAGACAUGGUGGGAUGUACUCUGAUCUAGAGCAGGCAUCUGGCCAGAGACCCACAGGGAGCUCUGUGAUUGGCCUCAGAUGACCUAGAGGACAAAGAGAGGUCAGUGACUCCUGUUGUCUGCGAGUGUGAUGCUGGAGGUGGAGGUGGGACAAAGCCAUCAUGUCUUUGAAGAAAGCUUCUGGCCUCAAGCCAGACUCAGGAUUUUGGAGACUCGAGCCUCUUCUGGACAUGUGCACCUUGACAGUAGUGGCUUCUAAUUGUCCUGUGAAGGGAAAUGAUGGAACAGGCUCUGGUCGGCUUUUCUGGGAACAGACAGAGAAGUGGUAACUCCUGCCAAAGUCACGGGAUGCAUACAAAGCCCAGAACCCGAACAGGAAAAUGCAGCAGGAAAGGACACCGCAGCAGCCACCAUCCUGGGGUGGCUGUGCACGGGGCAGUCCUGCCCCUGGAACUUGGCCAGAGGCCAGGGCAAGUGCCCACCUCCCUUCUAGGGGCCUUUGUCACUGGCCUGCUUGCCCAGGUCUCCUUCAUCUCUGCUGCUGCCACACCUUUCAGGCCUGUUCUGGGUCUGAUGUGAUGCAGAACACUCUGCUCCGUCACUUGGGAAAUGGAAACUUCAUCACCAGCGUUUCCACCCCAAAGAACUAGACAGCACACUGGGAAGUUGCCAA
rnacentral:lncRNA from 1 species